UACGGGGGGGAGCAAGCGUUGUUCGGAUUUACUGGGCGUAAAGGGCGCGUAGGCGGUCGUGACAAGUCACUUGUGAAAUCUCUGGGCUUAACUCGGAACGGUCAAGUGAUACUGUCGGACUAGAGUACAGAAGGGGCAACUGGAAUUCUCGGUGUAGCGGUGAAAUGCGUAGAUAUCGAGAGGAACACCUGCGGCGAAGGCGGGUUGCUGGGCUGAUACUGACGCUGAGGCGCGAAAGCCAGGGUGGCGAACUGG
rnacentral:rRNA from 1 species